rnacentral:rRNA from 1 species
AUUGAACGCUGGCGGCAGGCUUAACACAUGCAAGUCGAGCGGGGGAAGGUAGCUUGCUACUGGACCUAGCGGCGGACGGGUGAGUAAUGCUUAGGAAUCUGCCUAUCAGUGGGGGACAACACCUCGAAAGGGAUGCUAAUAACGCAUACGUCCUACGGGAGAAAGCAGGGGAUCUUCGGACCUUGCGCUAAUAGAUGAGCCUAAGUCGGAUUAGCUAGUUGGUGGGGUAAAGGCCUACCAAGGCGACGAUCUGUAGCGGGUCUGAGAGGAUGAUCCGCCACACUGGGACUGAGACACGGCCCAGACUCCUACGGGAGGCAGCAGUGGGGAAUAUUGGACAAUGGGGGGAACCCUGAUCCAGCCAUGCCGCGUGUGUGAAGAAGGCCUUAUGGUUGUAAAGCACUUUAAGCGAGGAGGAGGCUACUCUAGUUAAUACCUAGGGAUAGUGGACGUUACUCGCAGAAUAAGCACCGGCUAACUCUGUGCCAGCAGCCGCCGUAA